UACGGAGGGUACGAGCGUUGUCCGGAAUCACUGGGCGUAAAGGGCGCGUAGGUGGCGUCGCAAGUCAACGGUGAAAGCUCGACGCUCAACGUCGAGUCGGCCGUCGAGACUGCGAGGCUUGAGCACUGUAGAGGCAGAUGGAAUUCCGGGUGUAGCGGUGGAAUGCGUAGAGAUCCGGAAGAACACCGGUGGCGAAGGCGGUCUGCUGGGCAGUUGCUGACACUGAGGCGCGACAGCGUGGGGAGCAAACAGG
rnacentral:rRNA from 1 species